rnacentral:misc_RNA from 1 species
UCCUGGUUAACCCAGGCAGUCUCGUCAGAGUGCCCAACUUAAUGCUGGCAACAGACGAUAGAGGUUGCGCUCGUUGCGAGACUUAACCCAACAUUUCACAACACGAGCUGACGACAGCCAUGCAGCACCUCUCAUUUCAUUUCCUUGCGGACACUUCAGGCGUUACCCCGAAUUCGAAAGAGUUCAAGCCCAGGUAAGGUUUUGCGCGUUGCUUCGAAUUAAACCACAUAAUCCACCGCUUGUGCGGGCCCCCGUCAAUUUGUUUGAGUUUUAGUCUUGCGACCGUACUUCCCAGGCGGAGCACUUAAUGCGUUAGCUGCGUCACUGGAGGAGUCAAUACCUCCAAUAACUAGUGCUCAUCGUUUACGGCGUGGACUAC